rnacentral:rRNA from 1 species
CUCGUAGGCGGUCUGUCGCGUCGGGAGUGAAAACACGGGGCUUAACUCCGUGCCUGCUUCCGAUACGGGCUGACUAGAGGUAUGCAGGGGAGAACGGAAUUCCUGGUGUAGCGGUGAAAUGCGCAGAUAUCAGGAGGAACACCGGUGGCGAAGGCGGUUCUCUGGGCAUUACCUGACGCUGAGGAGCGAAAGUGUGGGGAGCGAACA